UCUGAAAAGAAAAGAGGUGUUAGGUUCCUUAAAGCAUCUCGAAGUCACAACAAGCGCAAACAGUGGGAAUGAAGCUCAGAGGGCAAUAGCUCUAGUCAGGUACAAUACAGAGCUCCUCUCAUACAUCUAAGUAAAUAACAGAUUAUGAAAGUAAUGACCAACUAUUAGAGGCAAUCAUGGUAGCUCUGAGAAUUAUAAACUCCAUGAUUUGCCCAAGGAAGCCUUUCCUCAAAUCCCUGUCAAACAACUUGCUUUGAAAGGGGUCCAAUGCAAUGUAGCGGUUUGAGGAUUUCAGCUAAUAUGAAGUAAUAACACAGACUGAGCUGUGCUAUUGAAAAGGCACAUUUCUCUAAUCCAACAUAUCAACUGAUUAUACUAAGAUUUCAAAAUCAUAGAAAAUUACCAACUUACAGUCAGGCUGGUAUCCGGAACUUCUGGUUGUCCUUUUAACAAGUACCUUCAAAACAUAUUGUUGUUGCGUGACCCUAUCAAGGGAUUUUCUUGGCAAGAUUUGUUCAGAGGGAGUUUGCCAUUGCUGAGCCGGGAUUCGCACCGUGGUCUUCAGAUUCAUAGUCCAGCGCUCAAAACCACUGCACCAUGCUGAAAGUCUCUCAUACACAUAACCUGAAGGCUGGUUUGUAUAUCUGCAUGAGCCUGGUUGAAACCCAAAUGUUACGAACAAGUUGCAUAGGUUGAUAAAUAUUAGGAUGAAGUCAACAAGCUUGGUCGCCAACACCAUUUUGUUUUCCUUGCAUGUGGGCCAGAUGGGGAAGCGCAGAGAGACAUGUAUCUGGAUUUUAGGUUUGUCUUCUUUUUUUGACAUGUUGGAAAGGGGACACAGAAUCACACAUCCAAACUUUUGUGCUAGAGUUACGUAAGCGAUAUGCAUUCCUUUCUUCCCAUAUCCCUAUUAUUUCUAACCACAUCAGCCUUGUGUCUUCUUUGGACACUGUCACAAGUGAGGCUAAGAGCACAUCUUGACUUCUCAUUUGAAUCUGCUUGAUAUAUUCACAUAGAUUGUUUCUUUCGUUAUUACUUCUAAUGAUGCGUGAUUGCUGAACCUAUCCACCUCAGUUAAACCUGGAAUUUGGCUAAGUAAGCUGAGCCAUUUUCCAUUUCAAAAAAUAAGCAAGGAAGAAAAAUGACUCAGUUAAUUCCGAUGAUGAUGAUGAUGAUGAUGAUGAUGAUGAUGAUGAUGCAAAAAGGAAGUAGUGAGAAGAGAAGUAGCUCAAUGGAUGUCUGCUGGGGUAUCAGGCAGACCCCAGCAGUGCUGGGUAAAUUUGAUUUAGUAAAUCCAUAAGUGAAAAAUGUAUCACUAGUCCCUUUCACAGCUGUUGAUUUUUAAAUGUUUUUCUUGCACUCAGAUAAAACUUCAAGCAGGUUUUAUAUUUAUAUAGCUCAUUAUAUUCUGUGGGCUACUGUAAAAUUACAUGGGACAAUGUGGCAAAUCACAUAAACACUAGCACCAAAGGGCCACUGCCUCCACACAUCAUUAUGUGACACCAAAGUUCCUGUACUUCAAAAGGAGGAACACGCAGUUCACGUCCAAAUUAAAAACAAAUGGAGAGUUUGAAAGGAGGGCUGAAACCCAGGCCAAAACCAAAGCCAGUGUUUGAGAAAGAUGAAAAUGAGAACAACAGGCAGUAAGCAGAUUUGGCUCAGCCCUGCCCAAAGCCAUUGAAAGAAUGCAAUACGCACUCCACAAGUGUUUGGGCCGUGCUACACACAAAUCUCUUGAUUGCUUCUAGAAGAUACUGAGAACUGGACUUGGUUAGAUCUUUGGAGAAGAGAGUUCCAGCGCUGGAUAGAUGCCCACUUACAAAAGCUCUCAGUUAUCUCUUCAUAUAGGCCAAUAUAGUGGCCUAUAUUGUUGGAUCCUUGGCCCAUCUCCUCCUGUACUAUUCAUACUCGUAGUACUUCCCCAUGGCUUCACCCAUGAAGCCAAGGUUCUUCUAACCUUGAUAUUUAUGGAGGACAGUUCCAAAUAGUUGCUAACCAUGGCAGUUAAAGAGGUCUCAAACUGGAUUGUUUUUACAGUAUUGCAUCAGUAUUGCAUACUGAUGAUGUUCCAGCCUAACCAAGCUAUGUCUGAAAUUGUCCUCAGUGGUAUACAUUUUGUUUUACUGAAAUAAUCAAACCAUCAAAAAUAAAAGGAACACUAAAUGAGUAAACAGUAAAACACUAAGAGUUCUUUUGGGCUUAAAGGCAUGUGGUCUCAGGGCACAAACAUUAGUUGAAAACAGCCCACAUCUACCUGGCUUCUUCUCAAAUAAAUACUUCCCAUCUCAAAUGGAGUGGCAGCUAACCACAGUCUGUGUUUAUUGACUCUAACAUGGUUUAAGACACAGAGAUUCAAACCCAAACUUUACAAGCUCAGCACUCGAAUCCCAAAUGCCCAGAUGGAUGAAUCUGACAGAUUUGGUUUUGCCCACAUUUGAAGUUUUUAAAUGAAAUUCUUUCCAACCCAAAUGUAAAGAAAUUAAUGACUGUGGGUACCGAUUUCAAAAUCAGAAAUGAACUGAAAUAAAUUCUCAUGCAUCCCUACUGAGUGUGCUUCUGCUCUUUCCAAACUAGAGGAUCAUGAUGCCAUGGAAUAUUGGUCCAACUAGGCAUCCUUUUUCAUAGAAAGAGCUGGAAGGGGACAUAAGGAACAUCUAGCCUGACCCCCAGCUAUACAGGAAUACAUAACUAAAGCAGUCCUGAAAAAUUCAAUCUCUGUUUAAAGACCAUCAGAGAUAGAGAGUCCAUCCUCCUCCAUGGUAACCCAUUCCACUGUCAAAUAGUUCUUACAGUAAAGACAUUCUCCCAAAUGUUUAGGUGGAAUCUGUUAUCUUAUAGUUCUCGUAGUUGGAAUCUAUUUGCUCAGAUCUUAGGCCCUUAUCACACGAGGGACUUACCACGCAGUAAUCGUAACCCAAACGUUACCCAAACACUCCAGAAGCAUGGAGGUGGGAUUG